UUGUAUACACCACAGCUCAGUGAUCAGUGUGGGUGGAUUAGAAAACAGCUGGAGCCCCAUGAGCAAGUUCUUGGGUGCAUUAAAACAGUUCCUCUGUAUGCCGGGAAUAUGAUCCUCAUGUAGCACUAGAUGACAACCAAGCAGAAGCAUGAGUCAUAAUGAGAGCAAAAAGAAGAUAUAAUUGUAUGAGUGAGUCCAGUCUGGUGGGAGAAACCACAGUCAUCUGAACAGCACAUAAGUAUGUUUGAGUUUCUCACAUCUGAAAAGCAACAGUGAGGGAGGCCUGCGUGGCUCAGCGGUUGAGUGUUUGCCUUCAGCUCACGAUAUGGUCCUGGAAUCUCCUGAUCGAGUCCCACAUCGGGCUGCUUCAAGGAGCCUGCUUCCCCC